UUGUCCGGAAUGAUUGGGCGUAAAGGGCGCGUAGGCGGCAUGCUAAGUCUGGAGUGAAAGUCCUGCUCUCAACGUGGGAAUUGCUUUGGAUACUGGUGGGCUGGAGUGCAGGAGAGGAAAGCGGAAUUACCGGUGUAGCGGUGAAAUGCGUAGAUAUCGGUAGGAACACCAGUGGCGAAGGCGGCUUUCUGGACUGAAACUGACGCUGAGGCGCGAAAGCGUGGGGAGCAAACAGGAUUAGAUACCCUGGUAGUCCACGCGGUAAACGAUGAAUGCUAGGUGUAGGAGGUAUCGACCCCUUCUGUGCCGCAGUAAACACAAUAAGCAUUCCGCCUGGGGAGUACGGCCGCAAGGUUGAAACUCAA
rnacentral:rRNA from 1 species